rnacentral:lncRNA from 1 species
AGAAAUUUUAUUAAAAAGAAACAAAAAGAAGACCUAAACCCAUGAGAGCACAAGUGCAAUUGAGGGUCGGGCCUCGUUAAAACCUCAUUAAGGAAAAAAACCUUAACGAGGAAAAAGAGUGCACGUCUAAAAGACAGACGAACAGAAAAAAAAAGAAAAAGAAAUGGUACUGGCGGUGAGCGGGGAAAGAGCCACCUCAGAAGCUCAAGUCGAACCAUUGCCCCUAGGAGGCUCGGCUCACACAAACCAAAAACCAAUAAAGGAAAAACGAAAAAAAACCUAGAGAAGAAACACCAACUAAC